ACAACCGAGGUGCGAGGGCUGUCGCUGGCCGUCAAAGGUCGUGCACGCUCGAGCGCUCUCACACAAUCCAUCUCACCUUUGUGCAUCACCGCGUGGGUCCCCUUUGCGGGAGGGCUUGCGUUUUCACAUAAAAACUCGAUACAGUGUAGAAUGUUACUUUUGCGAUCACACGCAAUCAAUACAACUUUCAACAACGGAUCUCUUGGCUCUCGCAUCGAUGAAGAACGCAGCGAAAUGCGAUACGUAAUGUGAAUUGCAGAAUUCAGUGAAUCAUCGAAUCUUUGAACGCACCUUGCGCCCCUUGGCAUUCCGAGGGGCACACCCGUUUGAGUGUCGUGAAAUCUUCAAAACCCUUUUCUUUGAUCCAUUUUGGUCGGGAAAAGGAUUUUUGGACUUGGAGGUUCAAUGCUCGCCCUUUCUUUUGAAAGCGAGCUCCUCUCAAAUGAAUCAGUGGGGGUCCGCUUUGCUGAACCUUGACGUGAUAAGAUGUUUCUACGUUUUGGGUUUAGCACUGUCCCUUGGACGCCUGCUCCUAACCGUCUCACGGACAAUGAUGGUGCUCUGGUCACCGCCGUCUACAUCGGCGGGAGGCUGGACCACGAAAAGAAAACCUUGA
rnacentral:rRNA from 1 species